CACAGGACUGCUAAAGGCUAUAGCAAGGAAGGGGAUUGAACCCAAGGUGCAAGACGGGAUUGGCUCAUGCCCUAUAGAAUGACCUGGAACUAGGAUCAAAGGAGAGACUGUUGUCUUUGUUCCUACCUUGGAGCAGGAAGCUUCUGGAAGACUAGAACAGCUAAACUCGGUGAUUGUCUUAGGAUGCCUUUAUUUUAGCCUCGCUUCCAUGGAUGCUCAUUUGUGCUUUUCCAAAGUGACGUCUUCCGCCUCUUCCCCCUCUUCCCGCUGAGGACUAACGAAGGUGUCAACACAGAAAAAAACAAAUUCUGCCCUGGAGUGGACAUUUCUGGAACUCUCCGUUACUGACACUUGGAUCUGGGGUAUUAGAUAUCCACUAAAGCAGCUGCUCCAUCUUUAGGAGACUCUGACUAGCAUAGCAAUCAGCCCAGGAAGCUGUUUCUGCCCUUUCAGCAGUUUCCAAGGCACAAGAAUCAACCUGGAGGAGAGACGCAGAGGGAGCUGGAGCCAUGUUAUCCUUCUGGAAGGUGAAAAAGAAGCAGUAUUGGGUCCCAGCAGCAACGACCCCUCUACUGAGGAAGAUGACGAGGAGCCCAAAGUCUGCCGUGUGUGUGGGGACAGGGCAACUGGUUACCACUUCAAUGUCAUGACCUGUGAAGGGUGCAAGGGAUUUUUCAGGUAGAGUCCCCACACCAGGGACCAUCUUUUCACCACUAACCUCAUUGAAACAGAAAGCAACCAGGUUCUGGUCUGGCCAUGCCACAAAUCUAAGAUGUGCCCCCAUCUUUCAAAUGGGGAAAAUCUAUGAAGAUAUAAUGAUAGAUGUGA